UCUCGUGAUGAUUAUCCUGAUAGGGACAUCUGAUGCCUAGCAUAUGAUGUGACCAGGAAGAGUAUUUUAGUAGAUGCCUCUUGUAAUCUGAAG
rnacentral:snoRNA from 1 species